AUUGAACGCUGGCGGCAGGCCUAACACAUGCAAGUCGAACGGUAACAGGAAGAAGCUUGCUUCUUUGCUGACGAGUGGCGGACGGGUGAGUAAUGUCUGGGAAACUGCCUGAUGGAGGGGGAUAACUACUGGAAACGGUAGCUAAUACCGCAUAAUGUCGCAAGACCAAAGAGGGGGACCUUCGGGCCUCUUGCCAUCGGAUGUGCCCAGAUGGGAUUAGCUAGUAGGUGGGGUAACGGCUCACCUAGGCGACGAUCCCUAGCUGGUCUGAGAGGAGGACCAGCGACACUGGAACGGAGACACGGUCCAGACUCCUACGGGAGGCAGCAGUGGGGAAUAGUGCACAAUGGGCGCAAGCCUGAUGCAGCUAUGCCGCAUGUAUGAAGAAGGCCUUCGGGUUGUAAAGUACUUUCAGCGGGGAGGAAGGGAGUAAAGUUAAUACCUUUGCUCAUUGACGUUACCCGCAGAAGAAGCACCGGCUAACUCCGUG
rnacentral:rRNA from 1 species